GCCCCUAUAGCUCAGCGGUAGAGCGUUUGCAUGGUAAGCAAAAGGUCGUGAGUUCAAUUCUCGCUGGUGGCU
rnacentral:tRNA from 1 species